UAGUCCACGCCGUAAACGAUGGAUACUAGUUGUUGGGCAUUAGCUCAGUGACUAAGCGAAAGUGAUAAGUAUCCCACCUGGGGAGUACGGUCGCAAGACUGAAACUCAAAGGAAUUGACGGGGGCCCGCACAAGCGGUGGAGCAUGUGGUUUAAUUCGAUGAUACGCGAGGAACCUUACCAGGGCUUAAAUGUAGGAUGCAUUAGCUAGAGAUAGUUAUUUCUUCGGACUUCUUACAAGGUGCUGCAUGGUUGUCGUCAGCUCGUGCCGUGAGGUGUCAGGUUAAGUCCUAUAACGAGCGCAACCCCUGUCGUUAGUUGCUAACAAGUAGAGUUGAGGACUCUAGCGAGACUGCCGGUGCAAACCGCGAGGAAGGUGGGGAUGACGUCAAAUCAUCACGGCCCUUACGUCCUGGGCCACACACGUGCUACAAUGGUAUGGACAAUGAGCAGCCACUACGCGAGUAGGAGCGAAUCUAAUAAACCAUAUCACAGUUCGG
rnacentral:rRNA from 1 species